rnacentral:lncRNA from 1 species
CAUCAGACCUGAGGACAGAAGGGUUCGGGCUGCAAGGAAUCCUAUUGUGUGAGAGCCAUGACACAGUGAGUGGGAGUUUUGAUCUUGACCUCCUGGAGCAUUUUCAUGGAAAAGGCAGUUCCAGGAUUCUUUGUGGCCUCUUCCACAGGAGAAAGUAAAGGAGCUAGAGGCCUCUAAAAAUUUAGUUAUUGAAGAACUGAAGUUAUUCACAGCAACCUGGCAGAAGAGAAUGUGAAAUACGUGGGUCUCAGGUAAUAGGUAAUAUCCCUAAUUCCACGGUGAUGCUGAGAAGCAGAGGGCGCCCUCAGAAGUAGUUUCUCUUAAGGAAUUUGCAGCUGGCCUACAAGAACAGGACCACAGAAUCAGGUCCUGUAAAAGGGUAUGUAAAAGUUGUAUUUUUUGCACAUCUGUCUUGUAUUCUGAGUCACACUCCUCUCAUUGAUUAUCCUUCACAAUAGCCGUUGUUUUAACAGCGUUAUGGAGAUAAAGUUGAGAUGGCAUAUAAUUCACCCAUUUAAAGUAUAAGAUUCAAUGGCUUUUAGUAUAUUCACAGAGUUGUACAAGUGUUACCACAAUCAAUUAAAAAAUGUUUUGGUUACUGUAGCCUUGUAGUAUAGUUUGAAGUCAGGUAGCGUGAUGCCUCCAGCUUUGUUCUUUUGGCUUAGGAUUGACUUGGCGAUGCGGGCUCUUUUUUGGUUCCAUAUGAACUUUAAAGUAGUUUUUUCCAAUUCUGUGAAGAAAGUCAUUGGUAGCUUGAUGGGGAUGGCAUUGAAUCUAUAAAUUACCUUGGGCAGUAUGGCCAUUUUCACCAAAACAGCAUGGUACUGGUACCAAAACAGAUAUAGAUCAAUGGAACAGAACAGAGCCCUCAGAAAUAAUGCCGCAUAUCUACAACUAUCUGAUCUUUGACAAACCCGAGAAAAACAAGCAAUGGGGAAAGGAUUCCCUAUUUAAUAAAUGGUGCCGAGAAAACUGGCUAGCCAUAUGUAGAAAGCUGAAACUGGAUCCCUUCCUUACACCUUAUACAAAAAUUAACUCAAGAUGGAUUAAAGACUUAAACAUUAGACCUAAAACCAUAAAAACCCUAGAAGAAAACCUAGGCAUUACCAUUCAGGACAUAGGCAUGGGCAAGGAUUUCAUGUCUAGAACACCAAAAGCAAUGGCAACAAAAGCCAAAAUUGACAAAUGGGAUCUAAUUAAACUAAAGAGCUUCUGCACAGCAAAAGAAACUACCAUCAGAGUGAACAGGCAACCUACAAAAUGAGAAAAAAUUUUUGCAGCCUACUCAUCUGACAAAGAGCUAAUAUCCAGAAUCUACAAUGAACUCAAACAAAUUUACAAGAAAAAAAA